AUUCAGUUGACGAGUUCCGAAUAGAACGAAACAUGAGUCCUGGAU
rnacentral:hammerhead_ribozyme from 1 species